NNNNNNNNNNNNNNAGCGGGUUCCACCCAGUCCCAGCCAGUUCUGGCUGGCUCCAACCAGUUCCAGCCGGCUAUAAUGCACCCACCGCAGGGCACGGCUGGGCCUGUCAGCCAAGAUGGUGGUGCCUCUGUGAAAACAUGUUUAAGAAAGAGCAGAAAAAGCUGGAGGGAAAGAGGAGGAGGGAACAAAAGGAGUGAGAAGAAGGGCUGGAGGAGGAGGAGGAGGAGGAGGAGGAGGAGGAGGAAGAGCAUCUCUGGGGGGUUUCUAACCAGGGCCGCCCCCCCGGGGUCGGGGUGGGGGUGGCAGCGGCACAUCCCUGUGCGGAUCCCGGAGACCCCGUCCCUGCGCCGGGAGAGGGGGGGUUUUUAGGAAGAUGCCGUUCCCAGGGUUUUGCUGGGAGGCCCUGGACACCCCCGUCCGUCGCGGGGCCGGGAUGAACGUCACCCCCGGGACCCCGGGAUGUCUGUGAGUCGCAGCCUCUGCAGGGGCCGGGAUGGCUCUUCCCAAAAAUGCUGUUCCCACAGACGCACCCCCGACUGCGCCCGCGCGGGGCCGCGGUGCCCGGGGUCCCUGGGGUCCCUGAAAUGGGCACACGGGCGGCAGAGCCCGGGCCACGCACGGACCCUUCUCUGAAGCCAGUUUCUGAUUUGUGUCCCUGCCCCGGGCAGCACCCCCGGGGGGGACGGAUGGGGGUCUCUCCCCACCCGGCCCGUCCCACAGCAGAGGGUCCCAUCUCUGUGCCCUCCCACGGGCGCUUCAGUGGGAGACGUGUCCUUGGGGGGUACGGACCACGUCGAACCCCUUCCCGCCCAGCCCCCCCGCAGCGCCCGGGUUCCUUUCCCCAAAAACCUCCUCUGGAACCGCGCGCCGAGGGUUUCCCGCUGCCCACGCAGGGAGAGACGGAGCCACCGGGUGAGGCUGCCCGGCGGGUGCCUCCCCGCUCCUCCCGUGCUGGAACACGGAUUUCAUCAUCCCCGAGCGAGAAAACCGCUUUGAUGGUUUUUCUGUCCAAAACAGCUGCCCUGGGGCCUUUCCCUCCGUCCCCGCGGAGGAGGUGGCCGGGGGGGCUGCAGCUCCCGUGUGUUUUGGGAUCGUGGUCCCUGCACCCUCACCCACGAAGGCUCCUGGUGUUUUCGGUAACACCUGGAAGGAGAGAGCUGCUGCAGCCCGGGAACUUCCAGGGCUCCACGGGGAGAUUCCUCCGUUUCCGUGCGGUCUGGGGAGCACAGGCAGGAGCAGUCUUUAUUUUCAAUAAAUGUAUGUACAUAGAUACAUACAUACACAUGUGUUUCGCUAUCUUCCCUUUCUUUCUUGGAGGAGGAACAAGGAAAAGAAGAAAAAAAAAGAAAAAAAAGAAAAAAAAAAGAAAAAGAAAAAAAAAAGAAAAAAAAAGAAAAAGAAAAAAAAAAGAAAAAAAAAGAAAAAGAAAAAAAAAAGAAAAAAAUAAAAAAAAAAGGAAAAAGAAAAAAAAAAGGAAAAAUAAUCCAUUGCCUUCUGCCUUUCUCCGUCUCUCUGCGCCCCAGCAGAGCACUGGGGUGAGCACUGGCCAACGCUGGGUGGGAAGGGAAGCCUGUAGAGAUGAAGUUGGGCACAGACACCCCCCGGCCCACAGACGCCCCUGGGGCCGCUCCUCCCGAAGCUGCGGCUCCGAGCACUGUCCCCCCCGGACCCUCCGCCUCCCGCUAGCUCCCGAGGCCGGGACCCCGAGGGAACCCCCCAGUUCGGUGCCCUGCACUGGACGGGGCCGGUGUCACCCCCGAGUGUCCGUCCUACAACCAGCCAUCCCAACGGGAACCAAUCCAUCCGGAGAGAGAGGCGACAGUCCUGCCAUAAUGGGUCUGUGCCGUGCUUCAGAAGGCUUCAUUUCCUUGAACAGAGAAAAGUCAAGUGAUAUCACUAAAAGGGAAAGAUUAGACUGAAAAAUAUGAAUUUAAAUGCAAACCCCGAGUGGAAUUUCUUGGAUGACCAAGAAAAAGGGACGGAUUUGAAAAUCCAUCUCGAAAGGCCUGGUGCCAGCGUUGGGGGCUGCCGGGGCCUCGGGGGGUCUCUGCUCCGACCUCCUGCUCCAAACCCCGCCGUCCCCCGGCAGACGCCUGGCACCGGACAGACCCCCCAGCACAGAGG
rnacentral:lncRNA from 1 species